UUUAGGGUUUAGGGUUUAGGGUUUAGGGUUUAGGGUUUAGGGUUUAGGGUUUAGGGUUUAGGGUUUAGGGUUUAGGGUUUAGGGUUUAGGGUUUAGGGGUUAGGGUUUAGGGUUUAGGGUUGAGGGUUUAGGGUUGAGGGUUUAGGUUUAGGGUUAAGGAUCUAGGUCUAUUAUAGUCCGUUUUUGUUUUAAUCAAUAUAUUUCAAGAAAUAAGUGCAUAAUUCUAAAUGGAUAUAGAUUUUAGGGUUUAGGGUUUAGGGAUUGGGCUUUAACAAAUAUAUUUCAUGAUAUAAGUGCGUAAUUCUAAAUGGAUAUAUAUAUUUUAGGUCAUUUUGUUAUUUACUAGGUGUAUACUAGUGCACUUUGUUUCUAAAACAAUGUAGUUCGUCUAAUAAGUGCAAAAGACUCAAUCGAUUAUAUCAUGAGUGCACUUUAUUUUGUCUAAAUGGACUAGUACACUUUAUUUUGUCCAUUUUAGUUGUUAAUCAAUGUAGUGCAACCUAUAAGUCCAAAAGUCUCACUUAUUUUAGUAAAGUGCAUGAGUCUCACUUAUUCUAGUAAAGUGCAAAGGUCUCAAUGUAUUCAUUAAACAAUGAAGUCCGUCGAAUAAAUCCAUAAGUCUCAAUGGAUUUAGAUUUUAGGUCAUUUUCGUUUUUGUCCAUUUUAGUUUCUUUUUGUCCAUUUUAGUUCUUCUUCAUUGUAGUUCGUCCCAUUAGUGCAUAAGUCAAAUUCCAUUAAUAUUUUAGGUCAUUUUGGUCUUUACUAGGUUAAGAGAUUAGGAUAUAGGUUUUAGGUUUUAGGGUUAAGGGUUUAGUAUUUAGCGUUUAGGAUGUAAGGGUCUUGGUCUGUAUUAGUCCAUUUUGGUUCUUAAUUAAUGUAGGUCGUUUUAAUAUUUGUUAUGUUUUAACAUUUUAUUAUCAACGUUGUUCAACCUAUUAGUGCAAAAAGCUUAGUUGAUUUAGAUUUUAGGACUUUUUGGUUUUUGAUAUGUUUCUUUUUGUUGGAUUUAGUUCUUUUUCAUUGUGGUUCAUUCAAUAAAUGGAUAUAUCGUACGGUUUAGUGUUUAGGGUUUAGAGUUUAGGGUUUAGGGUUUAGGGAUUAUGGUUUAGGGUUUAGGGUUUUUGGUUUAGGAUUUAGGAUUUAGGAUUUAGGGUUUAGGGUUUAGAGUUUAGGGUUUAGGGUUUAGGGUUUAAGGUUUAAGGUUUAGGGUUUUGGGUUUUGGGUUUUGGAUUUAGGGUUUAGGGUUUAUGGUUUAUGGUUUAGGGUUUAAGGUUUAGGGUUGAGGGUUUAAGUUUAGGGUUAAGGAUCUAGGUCUAUUGUAGUCCAUUUUUGUUUUAAUCAAUAUAUUUCAAGAAAUAAGUGCGUAAUUCUAAAUGGAUAUAGAUUUUAGGGUUUAGGGUUUAUGGAUUGGGUUUUAACAAAUAUAUUUCAUGAUAUAAGUGCGUAAUUCUAAAUGGAUAUAUAUAUUUUAGGUUAUUUUGUUAUUUAUUAGGUGUAUACUAGUGCACUUUGUUUCUAAAACAAUGUAGUUUGUCUAAUAAGGGCAAAAGACUCAAUCGAUUAAACUUUUUAGGUCAUUUUAGAUUUUAGUUGUUAAUCAAUGUAGUUCAACCUAUAAGUGCAAAAGUCUUAAUGGAUUUAGAUUUUAGGACUUUUUGGAUUUUGAUAUGUUUCAAUGUCGGAUUUAGUUCUUAUUCAUUGUAGUUGAUUCAAAAAAUGCAAAAGUCUCAGUGUAUUAAUAUUUUAUGUCAUUUUGGUCUAUACAAGGUUACGGGAUUAGGGUUUAUGGUGUAAGGGUUUUGGCCUAUUUUAGUCCAUUUUGAUUCUUAAUUAAUGUAGUUCAUCGAGUAAGUGCAUAAGUGUCACUAGUUAUGGAUUUUAGGUAAUUUUUUUAUUUUUGAUAUGUUUCUGUUUGUCCCUUUUUUGUUCUUAUUCAUUGUAGUUCAUCCAAUAAGUUGAAAAAACUGAAUGUAGUUGGUCUAAUAAGUGCAAAAGUCUCAAUGUAUUAAUAUAGUAGGUUGUUUGUGGUCGUUACUAGGUUAAGGGUUUAAGGUUUUUGGUUUUGGGAUUAGGGUAUAGGGUUUAGGGUUUAGAGUUUGAGAUUAAGGGUUAAGGGUUUAAUGUAACACCCCGUUUUUCAAAGCGAUGGUAUAUUUUUUUUUUCAAAAGAAAUUAAAAUAAAACAGAGAAUUAAAUAAGGAAAUACCUUUGGAUAAAUAAUUGAGUCAUUAUAAUUUACAAGUAGCGGAAAAGUUUCUCAAAAUAUGAAUCCAAAAUAUUUACACUACAACAGAUGAUACAUGGAAACCAUUCAACCAAGAUGUCAUACUGACAAUAUUAGUAAAUGUACAGUUUUCCAGUUCAAAAUAACGUAAUCCAAAAAAACAUAUGUUCCCUCUAUGUCAUCCUAAUCUGAUCAUUCUUCAAAAAAAAACUAAAGCUAUACACCUUGAGUGAUCUCCACGCGCCCCGUGAGGUCCUCCUAACAUAGCUCCAGUCAAACAUUCCCAUCUACAUUUCCAUCCGUAGGGUACGAACCGGUAGGAUCGUCUUGGCUCUCAUCUGAGGGCAAAGCCCAGAUUUACACAAUAGUUGUAAAGGGUCACCAACCGAAAUUACAGUUAACACAUAACAUUUAAGUUUUUUAAAAGCACAAAAUAACCUUUCAACUAAGCAUGCACCUUAAAAGGAUUUUCCAUGUGCUAAAAGUUCAUAUAAUACUUACCAAUUAAAAGUGAAGUCAAAAUAAGGUUCUCAAUCCAUCAAGUAAUACAUAACUAACCAAGACAUUGAUAAAUCAAUUGAGCAAUCUGUUAUCUAACUCAAAAUAGGAAUUUCUACUAAGCCAAUCGAUUUCCAAAUCGAUUUCCUGAAGGUUUUUAGUGAAAUUUGAACUCUGGGGUUAAUUCAAUCGAUUGGGAAAUCGAUUGAAUGAAUAACUGAGUCCCUGACUUAAUGCCAAUCGAUUUCCAAAUCGAUUUUGUCAGUUUUGCUGAAUUCCUGUAUGGCCAAAUCGAUUUCCAAAUCGAUUUCUUAAGUGGUUUUGAAAAAACAUAUUAUAAAAUCUAUUGGCAAAUCGAUUAUGUCAAAUUAGGGAAGUCCCUGUAACCCAUCCAAUCGAUUGGGAAAUUGAUUUCCCUGCAUACUCUUCCAAAAAUACAUAAACUAACUCAAUCACAUUCAUACGCAACUCCCAAUCUUAACACUUAGCAGUUCCCACAAAAUCACCACGACAAAUUGGGUUUCGAAAUAGUUUUACAAUCCAUCACACUUACACACGAUAAUCAAUACAUAACACUUAGCAAUUCCAACACAAUUACCACGGCAACUUAAGUUUCGAAAUAGUUUACAAUCAAUCAAACUUACACACAAAAUCAAUACAUUACACUUAAUCAUAACUUGAUUCAAACACGACUCGUGUGCCAAGCACCCUAAUGCGAUGCGUAUAUGCCAAAAUGCAUGGACUCGGAAUUCCAAACCAAAACCCUCCUCGAAGGGCCGUAAAUCAUAAUUGUACCGCCUGCCAAAGUACCAAUUACCGAGGUGCCACCUAUCACGGGUCUGCACGAUUUACUAAAAAGCGUAAACCAUAAACGUACUGCCUAUCACGGGCCCGUAUCGUUUACCAAGGUGCCACCUAUCACGGGUCUGCACGGUUUACUAAAAAGAACGUAAAUUGUAAAUGUACCGCCUAUCACAGGCCAAAGUACUAUUUACCAAGGUGCCACCUAUCACGGGUCUGCACAAUUUACAAAAAAGCGAAAACCAUAAACGUACUGCCUAUCACGGGCCCGUACCGUUUAUCGAGGUGCCACCUAUCACGGGUCUGCACGGUUUUCAAAAACGUAAAUCAUAAAUGUACCGCCUAUCACAGGCCAAAGUACUAUUUAUCAAGGUGCCACUUAUCACGGGUCUGCACGAUUUACAAAAAGAAUGAAAAUGCAUGAGCAUAUACUGAUUCCAUCCACAACAAUUGUUAAGGAAAUGCAGAUAUUAAAAGAUUCCCCAUUUUUAAUACUCAUUUAACUUAAACGAUUUUCUCAAACACACAUUAAGUAAACCGAGAUAUUAAAAGAUUCCCCAUUUUUAAUACUCAUUUAACUUAAACGAUUUUCUCAAACACACAUUAAGUAAACCGAGAUAUUAAAAGAUUCCCCAUUUUUAAUACUCAUUUAACUUAAACGAUUUUCUCAAACACACAUUAAGUAAACCGAGAUAUUAAAAGAUUCCCCAUUUUUAAUACUCAUUUAACUUAAACGAUUUUCUCAAACACACAUUAAGUAAACCGAGAUAUUAAAAGAUUCCCCAUUUUUAAUACUCAUUUAACUUAAACGAUUUUCUCAAACACACAUUAAGUAAACCGAGAUAUUAAAAGAUUCCCCAUUUUUAAUACUCAUUUAACUUAAACGAUUUUCUCAAACACACAUUAAGUAAACCGAGAUAUUAAAAGAUUCCCCAUUUUUAAUACUCAUUUAACUUAAACGAUUUUCUCAAACACACAUUAAGUAAACCGAGAUAUUAAAAGAUUCCCCAUUUUUAAUACUCAUUUAACUUAAACGAUUUUCUCAAACACACAUUAAGUAAACCGAGAUAUUAAAAGAUUCCCCAUUUUUAAUACUCAUUUAACUUAAACGAUUUUCUCAAACACACAUUAAGUAAACCGAGAUAUUAAAAGAUUCCCCAUUUUUAAUACUCAUUUAACUUAAACGAUUUUCUCAAACACACAUUAAGUAAACCGAGAUAUUAAAAGAUUCCCCAUUUUUAAUACUCAUUUAACUUAAACGAUUUUCUCAAACACACAUUAAGUAAACCGAGAUAUUAAAAGAUUCCCCAUUUUUAAUACUCAUUUAACUUAAACGAUUUUCUCAAACACACAUUAAGUAAACCGAGAUAUUAAAAGAUUCCCCAUUUUUAAUACUCAUUUAACUUAAACGAUUUUCUCAAACACACAUUAAGUAAACCGAGAUAUUAAAAGAUUCCCCAUUUUUAAUACUCGUUUAACUCUAAUGGUUUUCAAAUUCCACACAAAAUACCCUAAAAUUGCAUAAUUUAGGAUUUAAAAACUAUUGGUCUUACAUUAGUACCCCCCUAAAAUUAGUUUCAUCCUCGAAACUUAAAGUACGAGUAGCAAUCCACACUAAGUUUGUACUCAAAUUCAACACACUAGUCCCAACUUGUUUCACUCGGCCUUCUCGAAAAAGUGUUGCCUACCCCUUUUCAUAGGGUGUUUAAUAACUUCACACACAUCCAUAGUCGGUAAGGCUCGUCCGUUCCAUUUAACAUGAUUUUGUCUACUAUCAACAAGAGAUUAAGGAUGAUCAGUCCCUCAAUUUGUCAAUAAAUAGCCAACAACCAUGAUAAUGGCUUAGACUAACUUAGUCGAACUGUAAUAGCGCUCCUUGCAACUUACAAAAGCAGUCAACAAUCUUCUCAAAGUCCAUUGAAUUUCCCUUAUUUUCCUAUAACUUUGAUCUUGUCGACGAAGUAAAAUAUCUCAUACUUAUGUCACGUAGUCUCAUUGGCAUCUACUUGAUACGAAACAUCCAUUUGGUACCAAACUGAAACACUUAGAAUGAUCCCCACACACUGAGCACAAAACAAUCACUACAUCCGAGAACUCCUAAAUUUCUCCCUUGUCCACAAAUCCUCGAUUUUUCUUAAGUCGUACAACUACGUCAAACUGUAGUGUUCUUAUCGGUAUGUUAUUCCAGUUAUAAAUUUAAUAAUUCCAUCCCCACACAUGCUGGGUGAUCAAAACUACCUCAAGUAUUUUCGAAAACAAGCCAAAGACUAUACCACUUGGGACACACAAACUUCCUUUGAUUGACGAACACAAUAACAAUCCCCAUGACAUGCACUCAAGUAAUGUCUUUAUAUCGUUGGCAUACCUUUAUAAUAAUAAUGUCUGAGUUAUAGGUGAGAUAAUUCCUUUCAUCAAUCUUUAAUUGUCAUAAGCUACAUCUCUAUGUGCUGCUCCACAAAUUUCUUGGUACCUUUUCCAAUAUUUGGUUCACUCGCUGGAUUCUUAUUCCCUCUCAACCUUCACCGAGAUACGAACUGAAAGAAUCCUAACAAUCGAACGUCCUAAAGAAUUAUUUCUCAAACGUUCCCCAUAAGCAUUUCCUAAGAACUAAUUAUCUACUUCAUCCUCAUAAAUUUUUCAGUACAAUAUCUCAAAAACCCACAUACCUUUCUUCGUCCAUCCAGUUACUGAAAUGAUCAUUUCAAAUCUUCACGCUUGACUUCCAAAGACCAAUAACUAAACCACAACCCAGUUGUAAUUAAUGUAGUUCAUCGAGUAAGUGCAUAAGUGUCACUAGUUAUGGAUUUUAGGUAAUUUUUUAUUUUUGAUAUGUUUCUUUUUGUCCCUUUUUUGUUCUUAUUCAUUGUAGUUCGUCUAGUAAGUUGAAAAAACUGAAUGUAGUUGGUCUAAUAAGUGCAAAAGUCUCAAUGUAUUAAGAUAUUAGGUUGUUUGUGGUCUUUACUAGGUUAAAGGUUUAAGGUUUUUGGUUUUGGGAUUAGGGUAUAGGGUUUAGGGUUUGAGAUUAAGGGUUAAGGGUUAAGGGUUUAAGGUUUAGGGUUUAGGGUUAAGGGAUUAGGGUUUAGGGUUUCGGGUUUAGGUUUAGGGUUAAGAGUCUAGGUUUAUUCUAGUCCAUUUUUGUUUAAAUCAAUGCAUUUCAUGAAAUAAGUGCAUAAUUCUCAAUGGAUAUAGAUUUUAAGUCAUAUUGUUAUUUAUUAGGUCUAUUCUCGUUCACUUUGUUUCUAAAACAAUUUAGUUCGUCUAAUAAGUGUAAAAGACUAAAUGGAUUAGAAGUUUAGGUCAUUUUGGGUUUUGUUAAGGUUUUUAUUUUGUCCAUUUUAGUUGUUAAUCAAUGUAUUGCAACCUAUAAGUCCAAAAGUCUCACUUAUUUUAGUAAAGGGCAUAAGUCUCACUUAUUCUAGUAAAGUGCAAAGGUCUCAAUGUAUUCAAUAAACAAUGAAGUCCGUCGAAUAAAUCAAUACGUCUCAAUGGAUUUAGAUUUUAGGUCAUUUUGGUUUUUGUCCAUUUUAGUUUCUUUUUGUCCUUUUUAGUUCUUCUUCAUUGCAGUUCGUCCAAUUAGUGCAUAAGUCAAAAUGCAUUAAUAUUUUAGGUCAUUUUGGUCUUUACUAGGUUAAGAGAUUAGGUUAUAGAUUUUAGGUUUUAGGGUUUAGGGUUUAGUAUUUAGCGUUUAGGGUGUAAGGGUCUUGGUCUAUAUUAGUCCAUUUUGGUUCUUAAUUAAUGUAGGUCGUUUUAAUAUUUGUUAUGUUUUAACAUUUUACUAUCAACGUAGUUCAACCUAUAAGUGCAAAAAUCUUAGUUGAUUUAGAUUUUAGGACUUUUUGGUUUUUGAUAUGUUUUUUUUUGUUGGAUUUAGUUCUUUUUCAUUGUAGUUCAUUAAAUAAAUGGAUAUAUUGUAGGGUUUAGGGUUUAGUGAUUAAGGUUUAGAGUUUAGGGUUUUGGAUUUAGGGUUGAAUGAUUAA
rnacentral:lncRNA from 1 species